GUGGGGAAUAUUGGACAAUGGGCGCAAGCCUGAUCCAGCAAUGCCGCGUGGGUGAAGAAGGCCUUCGGGUUGUAAAGCCCUUUUGUACGGGAAGAAAUCAUUCGGGCUAAUACCCUGGGUGGAUGACGGUACCGUAAGAAUAAGCACCGGCUAACUUCGUGCCAGCAGCCGCGGUAAUACGAAGGGUGCAAGCGUUAAUCGGAAUUACUGGGCGUAAAGCGUGCGUAGGUGGUUGUUCAAGUCUGUCGUGAAAGCCCUGGGCUCAACCUGGGAAUGGCUGUGGAAAGUGAGCGACUGGAGUGCGGUAGAGGAUGGCGGAACUCCCGGUAUAGCGGUGAAAUGCGUAGAGAGCGGGACGAACAUCCGUGGCGAAGGCGGCCAUCUGGACCAGCACUGACACUGAGGCACGAAAGCGUGGAGAGCAAACAGGAUUAGAUGCCCGAGUAGUCC
rnacentral:rRNA from 1 species